GUUGGGUGCCUAGAGCACUUUGUGGCGAAGUUAACGCGAUAAGUCGACCGCCUGGGGAGUACGGCCGCAAGGUUAAAACUCAAAUGAAUUGACGGGGGCCCGCACAAGCGGUGGAGCAUGUGGUUUAAUUCGAUGCAACGCGAAGAACCUUACCUACCCUUGACAUCUACAGAAGCCGGAAGAGAUUCUGGUGUGCCUUCGGGAACUGUAAGACAGGUGCUGCAUGGCUGUCGUCAGCUCGUGUUGUGAAAUGUUGGGUUAAGUCCCGUAACGAGCGCAACCCUUGUCCUUAUUUGCCAGCGAGUAAUGUCGGGAACUCUAAGGAGACUGCCGGUGACAAACCGGAGGAAGGUGGGGACGACGUCAAGUCAUCAUGGCCCUUACGGGUAGGGCUACACACGUGCUACAAUGGCCGGUACAAAGGGCUGCGAGCUUGCGAGAGUCAGCGAAUCCCUUAAAGCCGGUCUCAGUCCGGAUCGGAGUCUGCAACUCGACUCCGUGAAGUCGGAAUCGCUAGUAAUCGUGAAUCAGAAUGUCACGGUGAAUACGUUCCCGGGCCUUGUACACACCGCC
rnacentral:rRNA from 1 species